rnacentral:rRNA from 1 species
UACGUAGGGUGCGAGCGUUGUCCGGAAUUAUUGGGCGUAAAGAGCUCGUAGGCGGUUUGUCGCGUCGGUCGUGAAAACUUGGGGCUUAACCCUGAGCUUGCGGUCGAUACGGGCAUCACUGGAGUUCGGCAGGGGAGACUGGAAUUCCUGGUGUAGCGGUGAAAUGCGCAGAUAUCAGGAGGAACACCGGUGGCGAAGGCGGGUCUCUGGGCCGAUACUGACGCUGAGGAGCGAAAGCGUGGGGAGCAAACAGG